rnacentral:rRNA from 1 species
GACGAACGCUGGCGGCGUGCUUAACACAUGCAAGUCGAACGGAGUGGCGAACGGGUGAGUAACACGUGGGUGACCUGCCCUGCACUUCGGGAUAAGCCUGGGAAACUGGGUCUAAUACCGGGUAGUGUGGGAUGGGCCCGCGGCCUAUGGGCUUGUUGGUGGGGUAAUGGCCUACCAAGGCGGCGACGGGUAGCCGGCCUGAGAGGGUGGACGGGCACACUGGGACUGAGACACGGGCCAGUCUGCAACGGGGUGCAGCGGUGGGGAACAUUGCGCAAUGGGUGGGAGCCUGAUGCAGCGGCGCCGGGUGGGUGAUGACCGCCUUCGGGUUGUAAACUCCUUUCACCAUCGACGCGGUAGAUGGAGAAGAAGCACCGGCUAACUACGUGCCAGCAGCCGCGGUAAUAC